CUUCAUUACUGGGACUCGAUAUGUUUAUUGGGAAAUACAGGAAUGAAAUACUCGAUCCAAUUGUAAAAUCUGCUUUCUGACGCUCACUGUAUUAUUGGAAGGAAAGGGAGGAAACUCCAGACCAUAAAAAAUGGAAGGAAACAGAUGCUUAUGAAUGUCCUGUCAACCACGGAAGAAAAACGUGCAGGAAAAUUAAGGGUAGACGCCGUGACUGAAAUGUUUUUGCUUUCA